rnacentral:rRNA from 1 species
CCUACGGGUGGCUGCAGUGGGGGAUAUUGGUCAAUGGGGGGAACCCUGAUCCAGCGACGCCGCGUGAGUGAAGAAGUCUCUCGGUAUGUAAAGCCCUAUCAGCAGGGAAGAAGAAAUGACGGUAUCUGAGUAAGAAGCCCCGGCUAACUACGUGCCAGCAGCCGCAGUAAUACGGAGGGGGCAAGCGGUAUCCGGAAUUACUGGGUGUAAAGGGAGCGUUGGCGGUGAUGUAAGGCUGGAGGGAAAGGCGAGGGCCCAACCCCCGUACUGCCCUUGAAACGAUGUGACUGGAGUGCCGGAGAGGUGAGCGGAAUGCCUGGUGUAGCGGUGAAAUGCAUAGAUAUUAGGAAGAACACCAGUGGCGAAGGCGGCACACUGGAGUGUAACUGACGCUGAGGCACGAAAGCGUGGGGAGCGAACAGGAUUAGAUACCCUUGUAGUC